rnacentral:pre_miRNA from 1 species
UGCCCUGGCUCAGUUAUCACAGUGCUGAUGCUGUCUAUUCUAAAGGUACAGUACUGUGAUAACUGAAGGAUGGCA